CCUUAGUACGAGAGGACCGGGAUGGACGUACCGCUGGUGCACCAGUUGUUCCGCCAGGAGCACGGCUGGGUAGCUAAGUACGGAAGGGAUAAGCGCUGAAAGCAUCUAAGCGUGAAGCCCCCCUCAAGAUGAGAUUUCCCAAUUCGUAAGACCCCUUGAAGACGACGAGGUAGAUAGGUUGGAGGUGGAAGUGCAGCAAUGCAUGGAGCUGACCAAUACUAAUCGGUCGAGGGCUUAUCCUAAA
rnacentral:rRNA from 1 species